rnacentral:tRNA from 1 species
GGGUCUGUGGCCUAACUGGCGAAGGCAACGGACUUUUAAUCCGUAAGAUGUGGGUUCGAGUCCCACCAGACCCA